CGCAGUUGACAGUUGAUAGCGUCUGGCUGAUGCUCCUGUGUGCUGUGUCCGCAGGGAUCUCCGUCAGGAGAGCAUCUGGCAAGCACACGCCUCCUGGCUGCGCCUCUCUUUUGUCUACAAGCACUCUCUCUUUUUUGCCUGCAUCCUGGUUGUGGCGCUGGCCAUCGUCCUCUACCUCCUGCGGCUGAGAGCUUGGACUCCUCCUUAAAGACCAUCUCCAAGUCUGCACUCCAUCAUCCGUGCGUCAGAACCGGAGUCCGUGUGCUGAGGCAGCUAUGGACAUGAGAGCUUUCCUCUCCACCUUGCCCCAGUCCUAAUCUUUGCAUUCCUUGGCCUCUGGCCUUUGCCUCACUACAUGGUGUAGAGCAAAGUCCUCUGCUACCAGCAGGCUCAAGGCUGCAGCCCUGGCAGAUCCCUCGGAUAACAGGACACUAUCACUGAGGCAGCCAAACCAGGGCUCUGGCCUGAAGCACUGAGCCACCCCAUGACUCAGCCACCAGUUUGCAAAGCAACCUGGUGAGGUGCUGUGGUUCAUCACCUGGGGUGGCCUUCUGCAGGCCCUGACAAGCCUGGGGCUGGGAGAGUGGCAGGCACCAGCUAAUUUACUGCAGGAACAAGGUAAACCAUGAGCUCCACCAGGCUGCUCUGCCCAGCCUGGCCCCUCUUGGAGUAUUCCUGAAGGGGUGUCCUGCUCUUUGCUAUGUCUUCCCUCUGAGGACAAUCCUACAGUCCUACCCAACAUCCCAGAUUGAGCCCUGAGGGCUCACCGAUUGAUUUUUGAGGCACCACCAAAGUGGGCUGUCUUUCCUUUCACACAUUAAUUCAUUCCCUCCUGGGCACAGCUGCCCUGUGCUGUCCCAGGUACCAGUGUCAGGAUCCGUGGUUCUUUCCUCCAAGGGGGUGGGCUGGGCCUGCCCCGGGAGAGCCACCUCAGUCCAGCCCAGCUCAUGGCCCCAGGACAGGCCAGGCCUGAGCUGUGCACACAGGCACAAACCUUCCCUGGGGCUGCAGCCCCACCAGUGGUCCAAUGAAGUUUGUCACUUUACUGAACUCAGCUGUUCCCAUUCCUGUAGCAAUAAACAAACCCUGUGAGCCAUCCA